rnacentral:rRNA from 1 species
AGCAGUCGCCGCGGUAAUACAGAGGGUGCGAGCGUUAAUCGGAUUUACUGGGCGUAAAGCGUGCGUAGGCGGCUUUUUAAGUCGGAUGUGAAAUCCCUGAGCUUAACUUAGGAAUUGCAUUCGAUACUGGGAAGCUAGAGUAUGGGAGAGGAUGGUAGAAUUCCAGGUGUAGCGGUGAAAUGCGUAGAGAUCUGGAGGAAUACCGAUGGCGAAGGCAGCCAUCUGGCCUAAUACUGACGCUGAGGUACGAAAGCAUGGGGAGCAAACAGGAUUAGAUACCCCCGGUAGUCCCUGUCUCUUAUA